UAAGCGGAGGAAAAGAAACUAACAAGGAUUCCCUUAGUAACGGCGAGUGAACCGGGAAGAGCUCAAAUUUGAAAUCUGGCAGUCUUCGAUUGUCCGAGUUGUAAUCUAUAGAAGCGUUUUCCGUGCUGAACUGUGUAUAAGUCCCUUGGAACAGGGUAUCAAAGAGGGUGACAAUCCCGUACUUUACACAAUCAUCAGUGCUCUGUGAUACGUUCUCUACGAGUCGAGUUGUUUGGGAAUGCAGCUCAAAAUGGGUGGUAAAUUCCAUCUAAAGCUAAAUAUUGGCGAGAGACCGAUAGCGAACAAGUACCGUGAGGGAAAGAUGAAAAGCACUUUGGAAAGAGAGUUAAACAGUACGUGAAAUUGUUGAAAGGGAAACGAUUGAAGUCAGUCGUGUUCAUUGGAUUCAGCCGGUCUUCGGUGUAUUUCCUUUGAACGGGUCAACAUCAGUUUUGUCCGGUGGAUAAAGGUAGUAGGAAGGUGGCUCUUUCGGGAGUGUUAUAGCCUAUUGCCACAUACACUGGGGGAGACUGAGGACUGCAGCUUGCCUUUAUGGCCGGGGUUCGCCCACGUUCAAGCUUAGGAUGUUGACAUAAUGGCUUUAAACGACCCGUCUUGAAACACG
rnacentral:rRNA from 1 species